AUUGAACGCUGGCGGCAUGCCUUACACAUGCAAGUCGAACGGUAACAGGUCUUCGUAUGCUGACGAGUGGCGAACGGGUGAGUAAUACAUCGGAACGUGCCCGAUCGUGGGGGAUAACGAAGCGAAAGCUUUGCUAAUACCGCAUAAGAUCUACGGAUGAAAGCAGGGGACCGCAAGGCCUUGCUCGAACGGAGCGGCCGAUGGCAGAUUAGGUAGUUGGUGGGAUAAAAGCUUACCAAGCCGACGAUCUGUAGCUGUUCUGAGAGGACGACAAGCCACACUGGGACUGAGACACGGACCAGACUCCUACGGGAGGCAGCAGUGGGGAAUUUUGGACAAUGGGCGAAAGCCUGAUCCAGCCAUGCCGCGUGCAGGAUGACGGCCUUCGGGUUGUAAACUGCUUUUGUACGGAACGAAAAGACUCUGGUUAAUACCUGGGGUGCAUGACGGUACCGGAAGAAUAAGCACCGGCUAACUACGUG
rnacentral:rRNA from 1 species